rnacentral:rRNA from 1 species
UACGUAGGGACCAAGCGUUGUCCGGAAUCAUUGGGCGUAAAGCGCGCGUAGGUGGCCAUUUAAGUCCGCUGUGAAAGUCAGAGGCUCAACCUUUGAAAGCCGGUGGAUACUGGAUGGCUAGAGUACGGAAGAGGCGAGUGGAAUUCCCAGGUGUAGCGGUGGAAUGCGUAGAUAUCUGGAAGAACACCGGUGGCGAAGGCGGCUCGCUGGGCCAGUUCUGACACUCAUCCGCGAAAGCGACUGGGGAGGCAAACAGGG